rnacentral:rRNA from 1 species
UUCGAUUCCUACGGGAGGCAGCAGUGGGGAAUAUUGCACAAUGGGCGCAAGCCUGAUGCAGCAACGCCGCGUGGGUGAAGAAGGCUCUUGGGUCGUAAAGCCCUUUCGGCAGAGAAGAAGGGCACAGAUUCGAAUAGGGUUUGUGUUUGACGGUAUCUGCAUAAGAAGCACCGGCUAAUCUCGUGCCAGCAGCCGCGGUAAUACGAAAGGUGCAAGCGUUGUUCGGAAUAACUGGGCGUAAAGCGCUCGUAGGCGGGAAUUCAGGUCGAUUGUGAAAGCCCAGAGCUCAACUUUGGAAUUGCAGUCGAAACCGAAUUUCUUGAAUACUCGAGAGGGUGGGGGAAUUCCUAGUGGAGAAGUGAAAUUCGUAGAGAUUAGGAGGAACACCAGAGGCGAAGGCGCCUACCUGGCGAUGUAUUGACGCUGAGGAGCGAAAGUGUGGGGAGCAAACAGGAUUAGAUACCCUGGUAGUCCACACCGUAAACGAUGGAUACUAGGCGUUUGGAGAGUUAACCCUCUGAGCGCCGCAGUUCACACAUUAAGUAUCCCGCCUGGGGAGUACGGUCGCAAGGCUAAAACUCAAAGGAAUUGACGGA